GACGAACGCUGGCGGCGUGCUUAACACAUGCAAUUCGAACGGAAAGGCCCUGCUUUUGUGGGGUGCUCGAGUGGCGAACGGGUGAGUAACACGUGAGUAACCUGCCCUUGACUUUGGGAUAACUUCAGGAAACUGGGGCUAAUACCGGAUAGGAGCUCCUGCUGCAUGGUGGGGGUUGGAAAGUUUCGGCGGUUGGGGAUGGACUCGCGGCUUAUCAGCUUGUUGGUGGGGUAGUGGCUUACCAAGGCUUUGACGGGUAGCCGGCCUGAGAGGGUGACCGGCCACAUUGGGACUGAGAUACGGCCCAGACUCCUACGGGAGGCAGCAGUGGGGAAUAUUGCACAAUGGGCGGAAGCCUGAUGCAGCAACGCCGCGUGCGGGAUGACGGCCUUCGGGUUGUAAACCGCUUUCGCCUGUGACGAAGCGUGAGUGACGGUAAUGGGUAAAGAAGCACCGGCUAACUACGUGCCAGCAGCCGCGGUGAUACGUAGGGUGCGAGCGUUGUCCGGAUUUAUUGGGCGUAAAGGGCUCGUAGGUGGUUGAUCGCGUCGGAAGUGUAAUCUUGGGGCUUAACCCUGAGCGUGCUUUCGAUACGGGUUGACUUGAGGAAGGUAGGGGAGAAUGGAAUUCCUGGUGGAGCGGUGGAAUGCGCAGAUAUCAGGAGGAACACCAGUGGCGAAGGCGGUUCUCUGGGCCUUUCCUGACGCUGAGGAGCGAAAGCGUGGGGAGCGAACAGGCUUAGAUACCCUGGUAGUCCACGCUGUAAACGGUGGGUACUAGGUGUGGGGUCCAUUCCACGGGUUCCGUGCCGUAGCUAACGCUUUAAGUACCCCGCCUGGGGAGUACGGCCGCAAGGCUAAAACUCAAAGGAAUUGACGGGGCCCCGCACAAGCGGCGGAGCAUGCGGAUUAAUUCGAUGCAACGCGUAGAACCUUACCUGGGUUUGACAUGGAUCGGGAGUGCUCAGAGAUGGGUGUGCCUCUUUUGGGGUCGGUUCACAGGUGGUGCAUGCCUGUCGUCAGCUCGUGUCGUGAGAUGUUGGGUUAAGUCCCGCAACGAGCGCAACCCUUGUUCACUGUUGCCAGCACGUUAUGGUGGGGACUCAGUGGAGACCGCCGGGGUCAACUCGGAGGAAGGUGGUGAUGACGUCAAGUCAUCAUGCCCCUUAUGUCCAGGGCUUCACGCAUGCUACAAUGGCUGGUACAGAGAGUGGCGAGCCUGUGAGGGUGAGCGAAUCUCGGAAAGCCGGUCUCAGUUCGGAUUGGGGUCUGCAACUCGACCUCAUGAAGUCGGAGUCGCUAGUAAUCGCAGAUCAGCAACGCUGCGGUGAAUACGUUCCCGGG
rnacentral:rRNA from 1 species